UGUUGGGUUGCCUCCCAAAGAGCGCUAAGUUUUAUGUCUUCAGCCAGACAAUUAUAAUUCAUUCAUGAUAAACAGGGUCGGUCAGAAGUGUCUCCUCGACUUCUGGACUCAAAUACUCAAGGUAUGGUUUUAAACGAUGUCCAUUAACUUGAAAUGACCUACCAUCUUUAGUAUUGCAUAUUACUACCGCACCAUGCGGAUGCACUUUCUCUACCAUGUAUGGGCCAGUCCAGCGAGAUUUAAGUUUUCCAGGGAAUAGAUGUAAUCGAGAAUCAUAUAAGAGAACAUUUUGUCCUUGGUGAAACUCUUUACGAGUAAUCAUUUUAUCAUGCAUGACUUUCAUGCGAUCCUUGUACUUCUUAACACACUC
rnacentral:lncRNA from 1 species